rnacentral:lncRNA from 10 species
UGACAAUAUGUUGUAGGCUUUAUAGCAUAAGACAACAGGAUUACAAAACAUGGGAGGGAAUAAAUGGAAUGCUUAUACAGUGUGCAAUUUCUAGAUGUCAUUUAAAAAAAAAACAGUCCCCUUCUUCCUCUUUUGUCCUUCCUGUUGACUGGAAUGCAGACACAAUGGCUAAAGCUGAAGCAGCCAUCUUGUACCACAAAGUUAACGUGGGAAAUAGAGCCUAACACAGUGGAGCAAUAAGAUCAAGGAGCUCAAGGAGCUGACUAAACUUAAGUCAAGCACAGCUCUUCCAAGGACUGUGCAAAUAUGAAGCACCCAGGAGGAGAAGAGGCUGGAAAGUGAAGGCCUAGCACUAGCACUGGACUCCUCAGUGAGAGGGAGAGCUUAGCAGCCCAGUGGUAUUCGGGCUUCUCUUUGCUAAGGUUUCUCCCAGCAAAGGCUGGGAUGAGACACUGACUCCUCUAAGGUAGCAAAGUCCACUGUCAUCUGCUCUGCAUCACCAAAUGCCAUUCCGCUUUGUGUCAUCUGGAGCUCCCACUUGCUUUCAAUGAUGUAGAAAGAUGCCAGAGAAAUUAGGUUGGUGUUAAGCCAGGUAGAAUUAACACUCGUUCUUGCCUUUAUCCCAGAUUAGUUUAAUAACUGUCUCGAUCGGUCUUAUUCAGAGCUUCUCACAGUUGCUAGCAAAUGAUUCCUUUGGCCCUACAUGCAAGAAAAUAAAUACAGUUAAUCCCAGGGGUCCCUGUGGGAAUUGCCAGUAUAGUCCAGAUGUGCCAUAAAAUUCCGUUCAGACAAUGAACCCUGUACAUAAAAAAUGCCACGGUAGGGACCCCUGUCUGACAUGCUCAGGAGUGCAUCCUCCCAGCCUUAAAGCCCUAACUCCUGGCUUCCACCCUCUGUCUCCAGGAUCCCUCUAAGCAGAACCUCCUACUGUUCUUUCCAGGGCUGGGAAAGGAGAACAGGACUGCACACCUUGUCCCCACACUGUGGCUCGCUGGUUUGGGGAGGAGUCUGCAGCUGCACAGACCUCACCUUAACCUUGGGGUCCAAGACUGGUGCCCAAGUCCUGACUGAGCAAGCCCAAGCAGCCUGUGUCACUGAGUUGGAGGGCGCCAUUGACGUAAUAACUUGAAACGCCCAUGAAAUUCAUCUUGGAAGUUCCCACCCAGGGAAGGAAGGGGAAGCAUUCAUCCACCGGCUCCUCAUGGCCUGCAGGUCAAAGUUGCUCCGCAGGUGUUAACGCUCCCACACUUUCAGAUUGGGAGUAGCUUCUUGCAGCUGGCUCAUGGCAGGGCUUCAGAAAAGCCACACGGCAGGAAUCUAGCUGCCAAGGGGAACCUGGAGGCCAAGGAGCACCUGCACUUAGCUGAUCAAAGCAAUGACUGGAAGAAGAGGUAGGGCCAAGGGGACUGAAGAGAUGCCAGAGAUGCACUGCAGAAGCACUGAGCCUGUCUCCAGAAUCAUCCUUCAGAGCAUCCAACUAUGGCAUCGUAUGUGUGUUUAACUAUACCUAAGAAAGAGACAGAAAGGAAGAGAUGGGGCGGGAAAAGGGAGGGAAUGGGAAGGAAAGAAAAAUGUCUUUGUUAACUCUAUUAGUCUUUCUUAGCCAAGUACAUUUUCUUCACUGCCCCAAGGAAAGAGGUCACAGCUAAAUGCAAAGAGAAAAUACAAGUAGUUAAUUCUCAGCAUUUGAGCUUCCAGUGGCUUUGACGGAUUGACCGCUUAAUGGAACUGCUUUAGGUAAUUUUUUUUUUUCAAAAUUAAUUUUAGGCCAGACAUGGUAGUUCAUGUCUUUAAUCCCAACAGUUUGGGAGGCCGAGGCAAGAGGAUCACUUGAGGACAGGGGUUCAAGACUAGCCUGGGCAACAUAGCGAGAUGCCCACUCUACAAAAAAUAAAAAAUUUAGCCAAGUGUGGUGACAUGCAUGUGUAGCCCUAGAUACUGCAGAGGCUGAGGCAGGAGGAUUGCGUGAGCCUAGGCUAUGAGCAUGCCACGGCACUCUAGCCUGGGUGAUAGAACAAGACCCUGUCUCAAAAAAAAAAUUAUUUUAACUAUAUUCAAUUUUUGCUUUAUACUUUGAUUUUAAAGCCCAGCCCCAGUAUAAGAUGCAAUUCCACUAUACAAAGAUUUAUGUACCAAGAUAUUAAUUGAAACAGCAUACUUAAAGGUAAAAAAAAAAAAAAAACAAAAACAAAACUAGAAAAAAGUCUACCCUAGUCCAAAAAUGAAUGUCUUGAUUAAGUAAAUGAUGGAACAUUCUUACAAGGGGUCGUUACACAGCCAUUAAAAAUGAUGUUUACAAAGAGUUUUUAAUGACUUGGAAAAAUGCUCACAAAAUAAUGUUGAAAGAAAAACAGCAAGGUACAAAAUUACAUAUACAGUGCAAUCUAAAUCAUGUAAAAAUAUGUAAGAAAAAAAGCCGAAGCAAAACAUGUUAAAAUCUGCCUGAAUUAUAGGAAUUUCCUCUCUUAUAGUGGUCUAUAUUUUCAGUUUCCAAAAAUGAGUAAAUAAUCAGGGAAAGAAAAGCACUGGGGGUGUUGUUGGGAGGCAGUGGGAAACCUUCUUUAGAUUCCAGUCUUGAGGAUGGUGUAGACGCUACACUCCUAUGCAUGUUUUGAUCCAAAGGCUCUGCUGCACCUACGUGGUUGCUGGGACUGUCCUGACUGUCAUUCCUUGAGGCUUUGGUUCUCUACCAUUUUCUCCCUCCACAGUGCUUCAAUGUGAUAAUCAUAGGAAGCCAGGAUGUACAGGCCAUGGCAUCUGCAUGCUUUCCAACCAUGGUGUGUAAGAAGAGCAUCACACCAUUCAGGGUGAAAGCACUCGCAAGCCUCGUUCCUUUCUCUGUGUUAAAUUAAGACCAGUGUCUCACUCAACAUUUGUUCAAUAAUUUUUAUGAAAUUCAGACCAGCCCCUCUCUUGAUAAAUUAGACAGUGUAGAAGACUAUAACUAUGGAGGAGGAAGACACUCUGAGGGUAUCCGGCAUUUCCCUGGGUCAUUAUCCUUGAGGGUGCAGUGCUGGGGGUGGGCUUUGGAAUCAGAUGGGCACUCAUUGGUUUCAUAACUGUGAUAGGUGGUAUAAAGGCCCCCUAACGAUGUUCACAUCCUAAUCCCAGAAUCUGUGAAUAUGUUACCUUACACAGCAAAAGGGACUUUGCAUGAUUCAGUUAAGGAUCUUGAGAUGGGGAGGUUAUCCUGGGUUAUUCGGGUGAACCCAAGUGUUCCUCUGUUUUUUGUUUUUUGAGAAAGAGUCUAGCUCUGUCACCCAGUCUGGAAUACAGUGGCACAAUCUUAGCUCACUGCAGCCUCUACCUCCCAGGUUCAAGUGAUUCUCUUGCCUUAGCCUCUG